AAUUCAUAUAUAUUAAAUUACUAAAACAUCCUUAUUUUAAAUUUAAAUUAAUUUUUAUUUUUUAUUUUUCAUUCAAAGUUAGGUUAAAAUACAGAUAAGGUAAAAAGCUCAUAUCUUUCCUUUCUUUCUCAUAUGGGUUUGCUACCGGCACCGAAAUCGGAACAGAUUAAAGUGAUCGGCAUCUAACAGGUAAACAACUUUAUUCAUUCUUCUUUUAUAAAAAGUAACAAAUUAAAC
rnacentral:lncRNA from 1 species